CCAUGUCAUGUCUAAGUUAUAAAGUUUGUUUUAGGAUGUGAAAGAUGUAAUUUUUAUUUUGUUGGAUCGAUCAUGUAGGAGAUUGUCGUUUGGUGAUUGCCGAUAAUCUACUAUUUUUUUGUUUUUGAGAUUUGUAUGGGCAUUGUAAUGAGUUUUGUCACGAAAUCGCCAAAGGGGGAGAUUGUUCAGGAUUUUUCUAAGUUGGCGGAUUUCGUGAAGUCGAAUGGAGUCUUGAAGAGUUGAAGACAAAGGUUGAAGAGAAGAUUGUGUAAUUUAAGAUCAAAAGACUUGU
rnacentral:lncRNA from 1 species